CCUACGGGUGGCAGCAGUGGGGAAUAUUGCGCAAUGGGCGAAAGCCUGACGCAGCGACGCCGCGUGAGGGAUGAAGGCCUUCGGAUCGUAAACCUCUGUCAGCAGGGAAGAACGGUCACUGUGCUAUUCAGCAGUGAAUUGACGUUAACUGCAAAGGAAGCACCGGCUAACUCCGUGCCAGCAGCCGCGGUAAUACGGAGGGUGCGAGCGUUAAUCGGAAUUACUGGGCGUAAAGCGCUCGUAGGCGGUAUGUCAAGUCAAGUGUGAAAUCCCCGGGCUGAACGUGGGAACUGCCUUUGAAACUGGCAAGCUGGAGUGUGUGAGCGGAUAGUGGAAUUCCAGGUGUAGGGGGGAAAUCCGUAGAUAUCUGGAGGAACAUCAGUGGCGAAGGCGACCAUCUGGCACAUAACUGACGCGGAGGAGCGAAAGCGUGGGUAGCAAACAGGAUUAGAUACCCGUGUAGUC
rnacentral:rRNA from 1 species